rnacentral:misc_RNA from 1 species
GAUGAAGAACGUAGCGAAAUGCGAUAAGUAAUGUGAAUUGCAGAAUUCAGUGAAUCAUCGAAUCUUUGAACGCACAUUGCGCCCGUCAGUAUUCUGGCGGGCAUGCCUGUUCGAGCGUCAUUACGCCCCUCAAGUCCCCUGUGGACUUGGUGUUGGGGAUCGGCGAGGCUGGUUUUCCAGCACAGCCGUCCCUUAAAUUAAUUGGCGGUCUCGCCGUGGCCCUCCUCUGCGCAGUAGUAAAACACUCGCAACAGGAGCCCGGCGCGGUCCACUGCCGUAAAACCCCCCAACUUUUUAUAGUUGACCUCGAAUCAGGUAGGACUACCCACUGAACUUAAGCAUAUCAAUAAGCGGAGGA